CAAGGAAAGUAACACGCCUCCCUCCCUUAUCGGCUUUUUCCAUCUUCGGUUCACCGCGAGCAGAUCGCUGCAAUGUGGUGACUCAGAAGGGGCGGGGCUACGGUCUGUUUCUCCUUCUUGAGGAGUGACUCAUCAGUGACCGCGGAAAGCCUACUCCAAAGGAAAGCGCAUUAUCUCUUGACUAUUUAUAGGCCCCGAAAAGACUGAAGAAUGACGUCAGGCGAACGGUAUUAUCACAACUGAGGGGGAUUGUAAGAGUCCCCAAUCAAAAACAUGCAAGUUGGAAAAAGUUAUUCAUUCCACACCUUUCUGCCCUGUGAUCUAUUCAAGGGAAGCAGAUGGAAUUCAACAAAGUGUGAUGGAAGAUUUGACAUUCAAGAGUAACAUGCAGUAACUGGAGAAUUUUUACUUUAUUUUCUCAUUAUCAAGAAAUAUUUUUUAGAUAAUGCUCGAUAAAAGGUGGUGUAAUGUU